rnacentral:rRNA from 1 species
UACGAAGGGGGGCUAGCGUUGCUCGGAAUCACUGGGCGUAAAGCGCACGUAGGCGGAUUGUUAAGUCAGGGGUGAAAUCCUGGAGCUCAACUCCAGAACUGCCUUUGAUACUGGCGAUCUCGAGUCCGGGAGAGGUGAGUGGAACUGCGAGUGUAGAGGUGAAAUUCGUAGAUAUUCGCAAGAACACCAGUGGCGAAGGCGGCUCACUGGCCCGAUACUGACGCUGAGGCACGAAAGCAUGGGGGAGCGAACAGG